ACGCCACUUCAUCAGAAGCACACAAACAACAAAAGGGCCUGCAUGAAGGACGCAUUGUAAGAGAUAUAGCACACGCCAUCAUGGCAUAGUUCAUAGAUGUAUUGGCCGGCCUCCACCCCUCCCCCAGGUAGAUUUUUCCGCUCGCCCACAACCACGCCAUCAGUAGAUUUCACAGAUCCUUUCCUCCGCCAUGUUUCCUUUAGGGUUUAGUAAACGAUAUCUUGCGGUCGAGGAGAAAUGGGAGAAAGCUCUAGCUAGUUAAUUGAUCGAGAAGGCGAGAACAUUGCCUACGAAGUGGUAGAGGUUUGUCUCAAUGGUAAUCCAGCACACGCUGCACAGAAUUGGCACCCGGUCAGAUCAAUCUUUCGGAUGCUGUGGACGCCCGCCAGGAGAUCGAUGAACGUAGAGGUGCUUCCUUCACUCGCUUUCAGACAAGGACCGCUUUGUUCUUCCAUUUGACGAGCCAUGGCCCGUGCCAGAUACUGGCAAGUUCAUCCUGAAGGUUUUUGGACCAUAAACUGCGUGUACAGCUCGGAGAACGACAGAGCGUCCUUCAAAUGGGCGUAAGUCGUAGCUUGCUUAGUUACUACGUUUCCGCCUCUUGCUACGGUUUUCUCUGUUGCUGGACAUGAGCCACGUAAAAAUCCAAAGCGGGGAAUGCCUUGGGUAGACAAUGAAGGCCGCGGAAGAGCUUUACCAACAAGGAUUCAUCCGCUAUCCCCGGGCUCAGACAGAUUACUUUUCGGAAAACUGCUCUUCGAGUGUGUGUUGCAUAGGUUCCUAGUCACCUUGAGCUGAUAUAAUGCUGUCCACGCAGUGUGGUACAGGACCAGACCUGUGUGGGGAAAUUAUGCGCAUCGCCUUCUUGACCCUCGAGCGAGCAAAGGCGACAAAGCUCAUCCGCCUGUAUGGUAUAUGCUUUAGAUUAAUCAUUCUUCCCCCCUCUGUGUUAAAAUAAAUUAAAAUUAUUUCUAGAUAAACAAUUUUAAAUUUUUAUUCAUAGAAUAUUAA